UCAUCGACUCGAGCCUCUUCUGCCCCGGGUGACAUCACAACGGGGCAGAUGUGCGCGCGACGCGCUUUCAGGCACGUGCGCGCCUUGAAAACAUUUUAUGCCAGGUGAUUUUUUUUUUCUUUUUCUUUUUUUCUUCUUCUUUUACAGCCUCAUACAGGACAAUAACCGGAGUAUUUUCCACAAGAAGGACCCUGGUGCACUUCGAGCUUCGGCACCCGGAAGCCUGCUGAUUUAAUUUCGUCACAUGGCUCAGAGAUUUUUAAUAACAACAACAAAAAUGGCGCCGCGUCACGUUGCGCUGCUCGGUUUGAGCUACUGCGUCAUUUAAAGAUAUUCAUGUAAACACGCGAGCCGAGCAGGAAAACGAGCCCAGGGUUGUGAAGUCGUCUCGUGACAGUAAAACCCCUAACGAGCUGAUCGACUUGUUUACAAGAAGAGAUUUGCGCGGAGGGAGGGGGUGUGUGGGUGGAGCUAAGCCGAGCGCACAAACGCGAUUGGACGAGGCGGAGGGCGGAGGGCGGAGCCUACACGAUAACAACAAGCUGGACGUGACAGAGGGUGGAGGGGUUUGUACGAGCUAUCUGUUGGUAUAUAUUGUGAUGUUUACAGUCUUUCAGUGAUAUAUAAAUCUAUAUGUCUAAUUAUUGACCUGUAUUGAAUAUGAAUAAUAUGAGAAAAAAUAAAUAAAAUGAAUAAUUGCAUUUCUUUACAGCAGAUAACAACCCUGAUUAAAUUAUAAAAUAAUUUUAA